UUUACCCUACGGGGGGCAGCAGUGAGGAAUAUUGGUCAAUGGGAGAGAUCCUGAACCAGCCAAGCCGCGUGAGGGAAGAAGGUACAGCGUAUCGUAAACCUCUUUUGUCAGGGAACAAAGGCGGGGACUAGUCCCCGGAUGAGGGUACCUGAAGAAAAAGCAUCGGCUAACUCCGUGCCAGCAGCCGCGGUAAUACGGAGGAUGCGAGCGUUAUCCGGAUUUAUUGGGUUUAAAGGGUGCGCAGGCGGCCUGUUAAGUCAGCGGUAAAAACCCGGGGCUCAACCCCGG
rnacentral:rRNA from 1 species